UAGGGAAUCUUCGGCAAUGGACGAAAGUCUGACCGAGCAACGCCGCGUGAGUGAAGAAGGUUUUCGGAUCGUAAAACUCUGUUGUUAUAGAAGAACAAGGACGUUAGUAACUGAACGUCCCCUGACGGUAUCUAACCAGAAAGCCACGGCUAACUUCGUGCCAGCAGCCGCGGUAAUACGUAGGUGGCAAGCGUUGUCCGGAUUUAAUGGGCGUAAAGCGAGCGCAGGCGGUUUCUUAAGUCUGAUGUGAAAGCCCCCGGCUCAACCGGGGAGGGUCAUUGGAAACUGGGAGACUUGAGUGCAUAAGAGGAGAGUGGAAUUCCAUGUGUAGCGGUGAAAUGCGUAGAUAUAAGGGGGAACACCAGUGGCGAAGGCGGCACUCUGGGCUGUAACUGACGCUGAGGCUCGAAAGCGUGGGGAGCAAACAGU
rnacentral:rRNA from 1 species